rnacentral:rRNA from 1 species
AGAGUUUGAUCCUGGCUCAGGAUGAACGCUGGCGGCGUGCUUAAUACAUGCAAGUCGGACGGAGUGAGUAGUAAUACUUACUGAGUGGCGAACGGGUGAGUAACGCGUUGGUGACCUGUCCUAAAUUGUGGGAUAACAGUUCGAAAGGACUGCUAAUACCGCAUGAGAUUACAGGCGUUAGAGAACUGUAAUGAAAGGCGCAAGCCGAUUUAGGAGGGACCUGCGUCCCAUCAGCUAGUUGGUGAGGUAAAGGCCCACCAAGGCGACGACGGGUAGGGGACCUGAGAGGGUGACCCCCCACACUGGCACUGAAACACGGGCCAGACACCUACGGGUGGCAGCAGUAGGGAAUAUUGGUCAAUGGGCGAAAGCCUGAACCAGCAACGCCGCGUGCACGAUGAAGGCCUUCGGGUCGUAAAGUGCCUUUUGAGGAGACGAGGAAGGACGGUAUCCUCAGAAUAAGGAUCGGCUAACUACGUGCCAGCAGCCGCGGUAAAACGUAGGAUCCGAGCGUUAUCCGAAUUCACUGGGCGUAAAGCGCGUGCAGGCGGUUCGGUAAGUUGGAUGUAAAAUCUCCUGGCUCAACUGGGAGGGGACGUUCAAUACUGUCGGACUAGAGGACGGCAGAGGAAGGUGGAAUUCCCGGUGUAGUGGUGAAAUGCGUAGAUAUCGGGAGGAACACCAGUGGCGAAGGCGGCCUUCUGGGCCGUACCUGACGCUCAGACGCGAAAGCUAGGGGAGCAAACGGGAUUAGAAACCCCGGUAGUCCUAGCCGUAAACGAUGUAGACUGGGUGUAGGUGGUGUAAAAACCACCUGUGCCGAAGCUAACGCGAUAAGUCUACCGCCUGGGGACUACGGCCGCAAGGUUAAAACUCAAA